rnacentral:misc_RNA from 1 species
GCACACAAACAUGGGUAUUGGCCCAAAGAUCCAUAGAAACAGAGGGAAGGACACAUAAAAAGCACGCAAUCCAAGUGACCAAAAGAAGCUUCCUCGAUUCAAGUUUCUAGCAACAUAUUCAAUGGAGUCCUUUUUGCGUACUGAUGUAGGUACAGUAGCCAAGAAGCUAACAUGAGCAUAGUAUCUGAUUGACUGCACAUUGCAAAGAAAG